CUUGAACUCCCAGCUUUUUCAUGCCUGAUGAGAAUCUGUCUAUUUGUCCUUCACCUUCUGCUGCUUUCAGGGGAAGGACUGGUCACAAUCCGCUGAAGAGAAGAAAUUUCUUCAAUCACAGAAUCCGAGGUUAUUUGUCUUAAGGGGAAGGGUGAAAUAUUGGCGCUUGAAGUAGAAAGGCAUAAAGCAGAUCACAAAGAAUCGGAUCACCAACAUAUUUAGCUAAGUUAGAAGUGCUAGAUGUAGAAAAGGCAGUUACAGUUCUGAAGCCCGAGAUCCAGAAAGUGGAAGAAGUGAAGGAACAGACGUGAACAAUGAGAAGCUACGCAGUUCUAAUACGGAGAGUCUCAUAGACAAAAAGCUGGAAUUAAAACUUGGAAUUACUAGAGAUGAUUCUGAGAAAUCCAAAAUAGCUAUGUAAGCUUAGCUCCGCGUUGUAUGAAGCCGUCAUGGGAACCAGGUACAUGCAAGUAAGGCUUUUGAUAAAACAAGCAAAGGUUAACAGUGCAGCAGGAGAGCUCAACAAAUUACAAUUAGCCUUAAGAACACCCCGGAAACAGACGAGGACAUGCUCAAUGAAACCAAAUACAACAUUGAAAGUUUUUGUCUACAUAAGCUGAUUAUGGAAUCAGCUUUGCCGAUGUCAUCCCUAUUUCCAUUCCUGUACUUUAUGACGAGUGAUUUGCACGUAGCCAAAGGACUGAAAGAUCUUGGUUUUUUAUGCUGGUUUUGUGGGUUCAUCAUUUAAGUUUUGAUUCAAAAAAUAUAACAAUUUCAGUGAAUUCUAUCAACAAGAUUGAACAAGUGCAACAUGAUUCUUUCAUUUUGAUAGGAAGUGAUGAAGAUAAUGAUCGCAGACACAAUCAUGAUCAUGAUUAUCUGAAUAAUGAAGAAGAUCAAAGGAGACAUCAUUGCAGAGUAGCUUCCUUCUCCUGUUGAGGAAGAAAUCAGCAACGAAUGCAAUUCAGGAACAACGUUUGCAGAAAAUGAAUCAACUGGAAAACUAGAAACAUAAAUAUAUUUAAAUGGGAAUGCAAUUUUUUUAUGGAAAUUGGAAAAUCAAGUGAUGCUACAUGGCGACUGCUACUUCUUCGCAAAUAGAAUUCAUUUAAGAUUUCAGAUGAUGAGCUUUCUUCUGUAAAGAAUGGUUGAGCGGGGUUAGAAAGCUUUGGAGAAGUUUACUUGGUUAAAGAUGUACCUGAAUCAGAACUAAAAGCUGAGGCUUUUGAUAGAGAAAAGGGGGAGAGACGAUUGAAGAUGACAGAUCAAAUUAUGAUUUGACUAAUUCUACAAAAGUUUCAGAAGAAACAGAGCCGAAAAUCAAGGAAUAAGAUGCUUGGAAAGAAUCAAAAGUAGGGAAAAAAAACAGAAGCAUCUAAAUCUCUAAAUUUCUGAAGAUUUGGAAAAACUUGAAGUGAAGGAAGCAAAUAUGAAAAUUUAUUUAUAAACUGGCCAAUAAUGUCAUCAAUAAUUGUGUAAUGUGUCUUCCCUCUUCAUGAUUUGGCAUAUAAUGAGAUAUUUCCUUUAUGGGUGAGGAUGGAAAUGUAUACAUCCACUAGCAGCCAACUAAAUAUAUAAUUAAGGACUACAAUGAGUUCAGUGAGGGGUAUAUCCUGAGGCUGCAUUAGUUCCCUUCCACUUCAAAAGAACUCGACUUGUGUCCAGAAGCAUGCGAUUCGAAUGUCUUACUCCAAGGAUAACUGACUAGAAGACAAAUUGUGACAAAUGUAGAGCAGUUGCUAGGUCAAUAAAGAAAACCGACCUUAGCUAUUUUCUUGCUUUUUGUUUAUGGUCUUUUAACAAGCUCUCCUAUUCCAAAAACCUUUAAAUGUGCAACUAUAAAGGCACUUUGAAACUUUCUUGCAAUGUAUGACACAAAAGUAACAGCAACUGAUUAGAAAACAGUAAUUACAACACUGAACAUUCUUCACCUGGGAAACACAGUUCCUUAUGAUUAUAAGUUCAAGCCCUGUUAGCUUUUGCCAUAAAGAGGGGCUGCAUUUAACAAUAAAGCUAACAACGCUGCAGCAUGACAAGAUAUAAUGCCCAAAGUUGGAUAUUUAAAUAAUUGAAUAAAUACUCAGUAAAUAUUCAUAAUUGAAUAUUUGAUGCAUUCUUACCGAGUAUUUGCAAAAACGCACCAAAUACGAACGGUUCUCUCCGUCCGGUGUCCGCAUAGAAUAAUUUCUCCAAUUCUACAUUCUUCUAACCUAUGAAGCAUGGGCAUUUCAAAAACCUUAUUCGCCCAUCUCAUACAAGGCAAUGGCACGCCUUUGACAAGUUGAAAAUCAUGUUUGCAACAUUUUUUUCCCAAAAUUAUAGUUGAACGCGAAUAAGCAAUCAAGACACCCUAACUCAGUAGGGAUGCACCCUGAAACGAUUGUGACAAACAAUGAUGGUGAAGUGUCUUUUUUUUUUUUUUCGGGGCUAGCUUAGCAAACUAUAUUUUUACAAGCGACGGUGAAGGUUCUAUGGAAGAGGGCAUUGGUCUUAGGAGUGAUGGAAUGAUGCCAAGUGUGUUGGCUCAAUUAGUGAUACAUCAAUUUAUUAUUUUAUGUUUUUUAUUUGGACAUUUUGAAAAGUUAUAUAACCUUUUUUUUA